UCUUAAACUCAGACAGGAGGACCUGGUGGC
rnacentral:piRNA from 1 species